UACGUAGGGUGCGAGCGUUGUCCGGAAUUAUUGGGCGUAAAGAGCUCGUAGGCGGUGUGUUACGUCGGCCCGUGAAAACCUGCAGCUUAACUGUGGGCGUGCGGUCGAUACGGGCAUCACUGGAGUUCGGCAGGGGAGACUGGAAUUCCUGGUGUAGCGGUGAAAUGCGCAGAUAUCAGGAGGAACACCGGUGGCGAAGGCGGGUCUCUGGGCCGAUACUGACGCUGAGGAGCGAAAGCGUGGGGAGCGAACAGG
rnacentral:rRNA from 1 species